rnacentral:misc_RNA from 1 species
CACCCCUCAAGCCUGGCUUGGUGUUGAGCGACGUCCUUUUUGAGGACGCGCUUCGAAACGUUCGGCGGCGUGGCACCGGCUUUAAGCGUAGCAGAAUCUUUCGCUUUUAAGGUUGAGGCCCCGUCUGCCGGAAGACCCACUCGCAA